rnacentral:ncRNA from 1 species
GAACGUCUUCAGGGCGGGGUGGAAUUCCCCACCGGCGGUAGGCGCUAUUCCCCACAGGGGACGGCGCGAGCCCGCGAGCGCUCCCGGCCACGCGAUCCGUCGCGGCCGCCGGGAGGUCAGCAGAUCCGGUCCAAUGCCGGAGCCGACGGUUGAGGCGUGGCCCAGGCCGCGCCCUAGAGUCCGGAUGAAAGAAGACGCAG